rnacentral:tRNA from 1 species
GGGCCCGUGGUGGAAUGGCUAACACGUCUGCCUUACACGCAGAAGAGUCUGAGUUCGAAUCUCAGCGGGCCCA